UCUGAAAACCUGUUUUCGCUUUGUCAUUAUGAUAUAUUGUAUGAAGUUUGAGGACAAUUUUUUAUU